rnacentral:rRNA from 1 species
CCAGUGGCGAACGGGUGAGUAACACGUGGGUAACCUGCCCAUCAGAAGGGGAUAACACUUGGAAACAGGUGCUAAUACCGUAUAACAAUCGAAACCGCAUGGUUUUGAUUUGAAAGGCGCUUUCGGGUGUCGCUGAUGGAUGGACCCGCGGUGCAUUAGCUAGUUGGUGAGGUAACGGCUCACCAAGGCCACGAUGCAUAGCCGACCUGAGAGGGUGAUCGGCCACAUUGGGACUGAGACUAGGCCCAAACUCCUACGGGAGGCAGCAGUAGGGAAUCUUCGGCAAUGGACGAAAGUCUGACCGAGCAACGCCGCGUGAGUGAAGAAGGUUUUCGGAUCGUAAAACUCUGUUGUUAGAGAAGAACAAGGAUGAGAGUAACUGUUCAUCCCUUGACGGUAUCUAACCAGAAAGCCACGGCUAACUACGUGCCAGCAGCCGCGGUAAUACGUAGGUGGCAAGCGUUGUCCGGAUUUAUUGGGCGUAAAGCGAGCGCAGGCGGUUUCUUAAGUCUGAUGUGAAAGCCCCCGGCUCAACCGGGGAGGGUCAUUGGAAACUGGGAGACUUGAGUGCAGAAGAGGAGAGUGGAAUUCCAUGUGUAGCGGUGAAAUGCGUAGAUAUAUGGAGGAACACCAGUGGCGAAGGCGGCUCUCUGGUCUGUAACUGACGCUGAGGCUCGAAAGCGUGGGGAGCAAACAGGAUUAGAUACCCUGGUAGUCCACGCCGUAAACGAUGAGUGCUAAGUGUUGGAGGGUUUCCGCCCUUCAGUGCUGCAGCUAACGCAUUAAGCACUCCGCCUGGGGAGUACGACCGCAAGGUUGAAACUCAAAGGAAUUGACGGGGGCCCGCACAAGCGGUGGAGCAUGUGGUUUAAUUCGAAGCAACGCGAAGAACCUUACCAGGUCUUGACAUCCUUUGACCACUCUAGAGAUAGAGC